GAUGAAGAACGUAGCGAAAUGCGAUACGUAAUGUGAAUUGCAGAAUUCAGUGAAUCAUCGAGUCUUUGAACGCACAUUGCGCCCCCUGGUAUUCCGGGGGGCAUGCCUGUCCGAGCGUCAUUGCUGCCCUCAAGCACGGCUUGUGUGUUGGGCCUCCGUCCUCCUCCCGGGGGACGGGCCCGAAAGGCAGCGGCGGCACCGCGUCCGGUCCUCGAGCGUAUGGGGCUUCGUCACCCGCUCUUGUAGGCCCGGCCGGCGCUUGCCGACACACCAAUCUUUUUUCCAGGUUGACCUCGGAUCAGGUAGGGAUACCCGCUGAACUUAAGCAUAUCAAUAAGCGGAGGA
rnacentral:misc_RNA from 1 species